GCUGAAGGGAGUGGUCUCAGUGGGAGGAGCUGAAUGAGCCCGGAGCGAGGAGCGGCGUGCAGAGAGCGUGGUGGCGUCCACGGUUCUGAGCGUGAGGAGCCGCGCGUGUUGGCUAGACCCGAUGUAUGUGCACCAAAGGAGCUCUAGGUCAAAUUUGCCAUGGAUUGGAUGUCACCUGCUCAUCAGGCUUUGGAAGAUGAAUUAUGUUAAUGGAUUUUUUAAAAAUAUGAACUUCUUUUGAAGUAUUAAACAUACAGAAAAAUGCACAGAUGGUAAGUAUAAUUGGGUGACUUGUCAUUAAAAAACAUAGCUGUUUAACUAGAAUCCAUGAGAUGAAAUAUUAACAGAACCACAGAAGUUCCCUCAUGAUCCUUUGGAUUUUCUUUUAAUAUCACAAAUAUCAAGACCUUACUCUCUUCUCUUUCCCUGAAAUGGAUCGGUGUAAAUAACCAAGAAGAUAUUGUUGAUGUGGUGAAAACCAGCCCUUUUGUGCUCAGGGCAUUUUCAUCAAUGACCAUGAACCUGGAUUAUGGACCCUCACAAAUAUGAAGAAACUCUCAAGGAAUCACGCCAGGAAAGGAGGCUUGGCCACAAAGAACAUCUCGACUAUUCAAAAGAUAAAAAUCUGAACCAGCCAAAAGAAGAUAUGUAUUGGGCAGAAUCUGGGACUGAGAAGACUCCAAGCUUGAAGCUUGCAUGUCCUCAAGGAAGUGUUACUCUCCUGGUGGCUGUACACACAUGGAGUGUGGUCAGUUCCAGAGAUGGAGUAUGAGUAAAACACAAGUGAGUUUUGUUGCCUCUUCCCGUCCUCCUGAGAUGCAGAGAGAAAAACAAGAAAGAUCUUCGUUGACUUGGGAGGUGGGCAUUCAAGUUUCUUAACCUUUUCAGAUAUGGUGAGCACUCGCUGUCAGAAGAGAGGUGGGGACAGAUUUGUUUCCGAAAUGCAC
rnacentral:lncRNA from 1 species